GGCUUGAUAGCUCAAUAGUAUAGAGCAUCUCCGUCCUAAGGAGCAGGUUGUGGGUUAGAGUCCCACUCAAGUCA
rnacentral:tRNA from 1 species